UCUUCAAGAGAGGAAAUUGUCAGGAAGAAAUAAACAACAGGACGGAAUCCGGUCACUGCUAAAGAUGAAGUGAGCUGUAGCUCACGAAAGCUGAUGCUCAGAUAAAUUGGUUAGUCCCUAAGGUGCCACAAGUCCUCCUUUUCUUUUUGCGGAUACAGACUAACACGGCUGCUACUCUGAAACCAGCUAAAGACAGUGGAUUGUUGGGGUAUAUCUGGGGCUGCACCCAUCCCUGGGUCAUUCGCCAAGGAGGCCAGCGAUAGCAAGGCUGUCUUGUGAACGGGAGACCCCAGCCUGGCCCGGCUGUAACACUUCGGACGUAUCUAAGUGCCCUGCGUGAAGCAAAGGACCGAGCUGGAGUGAAAGCAGGGGUGCACGGCUUCUCCGGGAGCCCGGAAUCUGUGACUACUAUGGCUCAGAAGAUAGCCUCUCCACCCCAAAGAGAUACCUGAAAGAAACUGGAACAAAGGAUAGUAACUACGGGGGUGUCAGUGAUUGCUGGACCCAGACUAGGAGGAAGUCUAGUCUGUAAAAGAAGCUUAUUGGAACAUCUCUGAGGGCGAGAUUUACCUGCAUUUAGUUUCCUACUGUAUUAGGCUUAGACUUGUGUGUUUUAUUUUAUUUUUGCUUAGUAAUUCACUUUGUUCUGUCAGUUACUACUUGAAACUACUUAAAUCCUACUUUCU